rnacentral:rRNA from 2 species
CAUGGGGGAAGGUUGAAAGGUGGCUUCGGCUAUCACUUACAGAUGGACCCGCGGCGCAUUAGCUAGUUGGUGAGGUAAUGGCUCACCAAGGCGACGAUGCGUAGCCGACCUGAGAGGGUGAUCGGCCACACUGGGACUGAGACACGGCCCAGACUCCUACGGGAGGCAGCAGUAGGGAAUCUUCCGCAAUGGACGAAAGUCUGACGGAGCAACGCCGCGUGAGUGAAGAAGGUUUUCGGAUCGUAAAACUCUGUUGUUAGGGAAGAACAAGUGCCGUUCGAAUAGGGCGGCGCCUUGACGGUACCUAACCAGAAAGCCACGGCUAACUACGUGCCAGCAGCCGCGGUAAUACGUAGGUGGCAAGCGUUGUCCGGAAUUAUUGGGCGUAAAGCGCGCGCAGGUGGUUUCUUAAGUCUGAUGUGAAAGCCCACGGCUCAACCGUGGAGGGUCAUUGGAAACUGGGGAACUUGAGUGCAGAAGAGGAAAGUGGAAUUCCAAGUGUAGCGGUGAAAUGCGUAGAUAUUUGGAGGAACACCAGUGGCGAAGGCGACUUUCUGGUCUGUAACUGACACUGAGGCGC